GAUGAACGCUGGCGGCGUGCCUAAUACAUGCAAGUAGAACGCACAAGUAAGGAGCUUGCUCUUCCCGGAUGAGUUGCGAACGGGUGAGUAACGCGUAGGUAACCUGCCUGUUAGCGGGGGAUAACUAUUGGAAACGAUAGCUAAUACCGCAUAAUAUUAGAUGUUGCAUGAUAUCUACUUAAAAGAUGCAAUUGCACCACUAUCAGAUGGACUUCCGUUGUAUUAGCCAGUUGGUGAGGUAACGGCUUACCAAGGCGACGAUACAUAGCCGGCCUGGGAGGGGGGAUGGGCAAAAUGGGAAUGGAGCAACGGCCAGGACUCUACGGGGAGGAAGAGUAAGGAAACCUCCGGAAUGGGGCGAAGUCUGAACGGGGAAAGCCGGGGGGGUGGAGGAGGUUUUCGGAUCGUAAAGAUUUGGUGUAAGAGAAGAAAGAGUGUGGGAGGGGACAAUUCACGCUGUGACGGUAUCUAAUCAGAAAGGGACGGCUAACUACGUG
rnacentral:rRNA from 1 species